GAACGCAGAGCGUAGUGGAUUAGCGCGUUUGACUUUGGAUCAGAAGGUCGUGGGUUUGACACCCACUACGGUCG
rfam:Ipomoea nil DNA, scaffold: scaffold0715, cultivar: Tokyo-kokei standard.